rnacentral:rRNA from 1 species
AGAAUCAACGCUGGCGGCGUGCCUAACACAUGCAAGUCGAACGCGAAAGGGGAGCAAUCCCUGAGUAGAGUGGCAAACGGGUGAGUAACACGUGGGUGACCUGCCUUCGAGUGGGGGAUAACGUCCCGAAAGGGACGCUAAUACCGCAUGACAUCCUGUCCUUGGAAGGACGGAGAUCAAAGCUGGGGAUCGUAAGACCUGGCGCUUGAAGAGGGGCCCGCGCCUGAUUAGCUAGUUGGUGGGGUAACGGCUCACCAAGGCGACGAUCAGUA